AUGCUCCCUCGCCCGCAAGAUCCGCUCUCUCCCAUCUAUGCAUCACGGCAGCACUUCAGCUCCUCUUGUGGAUUCUCACCAGAUCAGGCCACCUCACUCACCUUCAGUUGUCAGGACCUCACCGGCAGAUCCCUCAGCUAUCAGGGAAAGCAGCCAUCAGCGGAGAUUGAGGGUGCCUCUCCGGCAAGAGUGCUCGUGUCGUGGUGGUUUCCCACCAGCAGCAUGGGGGAGGCGGUGUCCUCUGCAGCUAGGUCUACUUGCUGGCGACCUCACCGUCACCAGCCCAUCUGCAGCCUACUUGAAUGGAUAUGGUUCCUGAGAGACCAUUUCUUAUGCAUCAGGUCCUGA
rnacentral:rRNA from 1 species